rnacentral:rRNA from 1 species
ACCGGCGGCAGCCUACCAUGCAAGUCGGACGGUAGCACAGAGAGCUUGCUCUUGGGUGACGAGUGGCGGACGGGUGAGUAAUGUCUGGGGAUCUGCCCGAUAGAGGGGGAUAACCACUGGAAACGGUGGCUAAUACCGCAUAACGUCGCAAGACCAAAGAGGGGGACCUUCGGGCCUCUCACUAUCGGAUGAACCCAGAUGGGAUUAGCUAGUAGGCGGGGUAAUGGCCCACCUAGGCGACGAUCCCUAGCUGGUCUUAGAGGAUGACCAGCCACACUGGAACUGAGACACGGUCCAGACUCCUACGGGAGGCAGCAGUGGGGAAUAUUGCACAAUGGGCGCAAGCCUGAUGCAGCCAUGCCGCGUGUAUGAAGAAGGCCUUCGGGUUGUAAAGUACUUUCAGCGGGGAGGAAGGCGACAGGGUUAAUAACUCUGUCGAUUGACGUUACCCGCAGAAGAAGCACCGGCUAACUCCGGUGCCAGCAGCCGCGGUAAU